rnacentral:rRNA from 1 species
UACGAAGGGGGCUAGCGUUGCUCGGAAUUACUGGGCGUAAAGGGCGCGUAGGCGGACAUUUUAAGUUAGAGGUGAAAGCCCAGGGCUCAACCCUGGAAUAGCCUUUAAUACUGGAUGUCUUGAGUUCGGGAGAGGUGAGUGGGAAUGCCGAGUGUAGAGGUGAAAUUCGUAGAUAUUCGGCGGAACACCAGUGGCGAAGGCGGCGACCUGGGUAGAUACUGACGCUGAGGUGCGAAAGCGUGGGGAGCAAACAGG